rnacentral:rRNA from 1 species
AUUGAACGCUGGCGGCAUGCUUUACACAUGCAAGUCGAACGGUAACAGGCCGCAAGGUGCUGACGAGUGGCGAACGGGUGAGUAAUGCAUCGGAACGUGCCCAGUCGUGGGGGAUAACGCAGCGAAAGCUGCGCUAAUACCGCAUACGAUCUAUGGAUGAAAGCGGGGGACCGUAAGGCCACGCGCGAUUGGAGCGGCCGAUGUCAGAUUAGGUAGGUGGUGGGGUAAAGGCUCACCAAGCCAACGAUCUGUAGCUGGUCUGAGAGGACGACCAGCCACACUGGGACUGAGACACGGCCCAGACUCCUACGGGAGGCAGCAGUGGGGAAUUUUGGACAAUGGGCGCAAGCCUGAUCCAGCAAUGCCGCGUGCAGGAAGAAGGCCUUCGGGUUGUAAACUGCUUUUGUACGGAACGAAACGGUCCUGGUUAAUACCUGGGGCUAAUGACGGUACCGUAAGAAUAAGCACCGGCUAACUACGUGCCAGCCGCCGCCGUAA